CUACGGGGUGCUGCAGUGGGGAAUAUUGCACAAUGGGCGCAAGCCUGAUGCAGCAACGCCGCGUGAGGGAUGAAGGCCUUCGGGUUGUAAACCUCUUUUAGCAGGGAAGAAGCGAAAGUGACGGUACCUGCAGAAAAAGCACCGGCUAACUACGUAGCCAGCAGCCGCGGUAAUACGUAGGGUGCAAGCGUUGUCCGGAAUUAUUGGGCGUAAAGAGCUCGUAGGCGGUUUGUCACGUCUGCUGUGAAAAUCCAAGGCUCAACCUUGGACUUGCAGUGGGUACGGGCAGGCUAGAGUGCGGUAGGGGAGAUGGGAAUUCCUGGUGGAGCGGUGGAAUGCGCAGAUAUCAGGAGGAACACCAAUGGCGAAGGCACAUCUCUGGGCCGUAACUGACGCUGAGGAGCGAAAGCGUGGGGAGCGAACAGGAUUAGAUACCCUAGUAGUC
rnacentral:rRNA from 1 species